GAUUUUGUAGUUGAAAACAACGGUGGUUUUUCAGACCGCAGGUCCUGGUUAGAGUCCAGGCAAGAUUA
rnacentral:tRNA from 1 species